AUUGAACGCUGGCGGCAUGCCUUACACAUGCAAGUCGAACGGCAGCGCGGGAGCAAUCCUGGCGGCGAGUGGCGAACGGGUGAGUAAUAUAUCGGAACGUGCCCAGUAGUGGGGGAUAGCCCGGCGAAAGCCGGAUUAAUACCGCAUACGACCUACGAGUGAAAGGGGGGGAUCGCAAGACCUCUCGCUAUUGGAGCGGCCGAUAUCAGAUUAGGUAGUUGGUGGGGUAAAGGCCUACCAAGCCUGCGAUCUGUAGUUGGUCUGAGAGGACGACCAGCCACACUGGGACUGAGACACGGCCCAGACUCCUACGGGAGGCAGCAGUGGGGAAUUUUGGACAAUGGGCGCAAGCCUGAUCCAGCAAUGCCGCGUGCAGGAAGAAGGCCUUCGGGUUGUAAACUGCUUUUGUCAGGGAAGAAAUCCUCUAGGCUAAUACUUUGGGGGGAUGACGGUACCUGAAGAAUAAGCACCGGCUAACUACGUGCCAGCCGCCGCAGUAAAAC
rnacentral:rRNA from 1 species